GACAAUAUCAAUCAUAUUUAUGUGUUACCAAUAAAGUGGACUAUAAAAGCCAUCACUAGUCCAUUAUUCUUCACUUGGACAUUAUCACUCAACGAAAAGACAGUUGUCCUCUCUUUCACUGUAUCCAGGUCAAAGUGCUGUAUAGUCAUGGAUCUUAAAGUUAUAGUAGUAUUUCUUGUUGCCAUUGUUUGUAUAGCAGCCCAUCAUAUGAGUGGAUACGACCGACCAGAUUCAUACUAUGACACUCCAGAUGGAUUAUACGAUGCACCGGAUACACCAGACUACCCUGAUUAUUAUUACCCAAGAAAUGUUGGAAGGCAAAUUCAAAGGUCUGUUUAUAGACCAGUUUACCCACGACGAAGGAUAAUCCGACGCCGAUUUUUUGGUUGAAGGGGAGGUCCUGGAUUGAGUAAAUCUUUCUACAAUUCUAUUGUGGUGGCUUUUGAUGAAAUCCUUCUGUUUUCUCUACUUCAGAUUGGCAGAAACUACGUGUUGAUUGAGUAGGAGUGUACUGUGAUUGUGAUAACAAAACACUUAAAAACUUGAAUGGAAGUUCCAUGAAUGAUUUGUUUCCUUCAACGGAAAAAAAUUAAAUAAAUAAAUAAAAUCUGUAAAGAA